GCAACAAUGGUCCUACUUUGCUAAGGAGAGGACUGAUAUUCAGUUAGCGUGAUCCAAGAUCUCCAUGUCAGUUGCUAAAACAUUUAAAUGCUUUCAUCUUGACUGCUCCAUCGCUGACCUUCAGAGGACCAGCAAACAAAAGACCAGAAGAAAAUUUGGAAGAUUCUAAACAUUACUGUCUGAGCCAGGAUACAUUACAACACAGAGCCUGAGGUGAAGCUUACGUGCUACACUUUAUUAGGCAUGCAAUACCAGGGGAGCAAGAAUGAAAAGAGCACUGGAGACGGCAAGAGGGAGAGCAUAAUGAAUCCAAGUAUCAAAAAAGAAAGCAAGAAAUUUGAAUCGUGACAGAGGAAGACUGUAGCUCAUAUUGGCUUAGGGAAAAACACACACAUGUAAUUCAUUGAACAGAAGUGCCUAUUUUCGAAACACUGGUUGUCCAGGGUUAAAGUUUGUCAUUGUUUCUGCAUAGAAACUGACAUCCAGAGCCCAUCAGACAUUAUCUUUGUUCUUGGCCUUUCUCGGUUAAUUUUUUUCACAGGGCUCAGUAGUUUCUUCUAUAGAUUUCAAAUAUUUAAUCAUAAUAUAUAACAAAGACUUCAAAAUGUAGAUCUUCAGAUUACUAAGAUUGAUCUGUGCGCCUUUGUAUCUAUGCAACAUUUCCUCAUAUAUGUUUACAUGUACUU
rnacentral:lncRNA from 1 species